rnacentral:snoRNA from 1 species
AUCUGAUGAUGUGGACAUUGUAUCUGCAACUCCCCAAAUCUUUCCCAAGCUUCGAUGAACUCCUCCGUAUGCUUCUGUCUAAAAAUUUGGAUCUUGUUUCUCAACUC